AUUGAACGCUGGCGGCAGGCCUAACACAUGCAAGUCGAACGGUAACAGGAAACAGCUUGCUGUUUCGCUGACGAGUGGCGGACGGGUGAGUAAUGUCUGGGAAACUGCCUGAUGGAGGGGGAUAACUACUGGAAACGGUAGCUAAUACCGCAUAACGUCGCAAGACCAAAGAGGGGGACCUUCGAGCCUCUUGCCAUCGGAUGUGCCCAGAUGGGAUUAGCUAGUAGGUGGGGUAACGGCUCCCCUAGGCGACGAUCCCUAGCUGGUCUGAGAGGAUGACCAGCCACACUGGAACUGAGACACGGUCCAGACUCCUACGGGAGGCAGCAGUGGGGAAUAUUGCACAAUGGGCGCAAGCCUGAUGCAGCCAUGCCGCGUGUAUGAAGAAGGCCUUCGGGUUGUAAAGUACUUUCAGCGGGGAGGAAGGGAGUAAAGUUAAUACCUUUGCUCAUUGACGUUACCCGCAGAAGAAGCACCGGCUAACUCCGUG
rnacentral:rRNA from 1 species